rnacentral:rRNA from 1 species
UACGUAGGGGGCAAGCGUUGUCCGGAAUCAUUGGGCGUAAAGCGCGUGUAGGCGGCUUGGUAAGUCCGCUGUGAAAUCUCGAGGCUCAACUUCGAGCUGUCGGUGGAAACUGUCUGGCUAGAGUCCGGAAGAGGAGAAUGGAAUUCCUGGUGUAGCGGUGAAAUGCGCAGAUAUCAGGAAGAACACCCGUGGCGAAGGCGGUUCUCUGGGACGGUACUGACGCUGAGACGCGAAAGCGUGGGGAGCGAACAGG